GGUGACUUGGAGGUGACUGUGGAAUUCCUCAUGGAAGUGGACAAGCUCGUUCAGUUGAUCAAGAGCUCCAUCUUUACCUAUUUACAUCUUCAGCUGCUGGAUGUGGAGAACAAUCCGUACCUGAUCAAGGCCCUGUACGGCCUGCUGAUGCUGCUGCUUCAGAGACUUCCAGCUUCUCUCUCACCGCCUGCGCUGUAUGCCUAACCCAGAGCUCAUGAGGACAGUGGAUAAGUCGAAGUACAUUGAGUCUAAGUCUGUUAGCAUCAAGCUUCCGGCAUACGCUUACAUGGAUUACAAUGACCUGUUGCACCACUUUGACCGGGUGCAGAGCAAACAUCUGGAGGUGCGCCACCAGCGCUCAAGUCGUGCCAAUCACCCAGACAGGAAGUUGGUGCUGUGACACGGUGGGACAGACUUUGACCCCUGAGGCAGGGCACUGCGUCAAGCCUUCACCCACGGAUGGAGACGCAAACACCCCAACCAACCGCUAACUUAAAGGACUGAUUGAAAACUGCUCACCACUCAUAUAGGAGCACCUUGUGCCUUUGAAAAUACUGUAGGCAUGAAGAACAUUGAGUGGAUUUUCUUUUUUAAACAAUGUUUUUUUUAAAGGGAUACUUUGGGAUUUUGACAAUUGACAAUUAUCUACUUCCCCAGAGUCAGAUGAACUAAACUCCCUUUAAGUGUUUUUUGUACAUAAACUCUCAUGCAGACACUGCCCAUACCUUCCUGUUUAACCCUGCUGGGACAUUAGUUUAGGCCCACCCAACCCUAGUUGUGAGAAGUGAGAGGACCUUAUUGUGACUGGAGGACAAUCCAAACUUGAAUUCAGGGCAGGGGAAACCGCUUGUAUCGUUUGUCGUAAAAACAAACACUUUUUUUCUUACUAUUUAAAAGGCUUGUUACUUGGCAAGCUCAUAUUCCGCAAUGGUCCCAAAAGCCCUGUAUGAUGGAGACAGCACGAUUAUGCUCCUCAGACUAGUUUUAUGCUCUUUCUGUUGCUCAAAGCUUAACUGGACACUCCCUCACCUGAAUUCAAGUCAUUCUUCGUGAACAGUGUUAAAACCUCUCUUUUGCCCCCCAAUCCAUCCAUCCAUCCUUCCCCUCUCUCACAUUCUAAUUUCAUACUCCUCUCUUCAGCCAGUCUCUUCCCUUCACUGACAGCCUUUUCCUCUUUCAAACGCUUGUUACCUUCCUCUUCUUAUUGCUAACAUCUGCUUUCUGGGCAACCCUUCUGCAGACAGACAUCUUAUCACGUGAAUCUUUAAAAAAUAAAGUGGACCAUGUGUAAUAAUUUUACUUUCCAUUAGCUCGUAUACUCUAUGCAUCAGUUUCUGAACAGUAGGUGGCGUCAGUCAUACUUUUAUGGAUAGUGAUUGAUCUGUGGCGUUAUGUAGAUUCAGAAUAAAUAAUUUACACAACUACACUUUUAGACCAUUUAAGAUGCAAGUUUUAUUCAGAUCGCCAUUAGCUUUUGCCGAAGCGAUUCUUCCUGGGGUCCACAAAACAAA